UUACGGUCAUAUCAAGUCGAAACACAGGUUCUCGUACGAUCAUCGAAAUUAAGCAACGUCAAACCUGGUCAGUAUCUAGAUGGGUGACCGCUUGGGAAUACCAGAUGCUG